CGAAAUGCGAUAAGUAAUGUGAAUUGCAGAAUUCAGUGAAUCAUCGAAUCUUUGAACGCACCUUGCGCUCCUUGGUAUUCCUUGGAGCAUGCCUGUUUGAGUAUCAUGAAAUCUUCAAAGUAAAUCUUUUGUUAACUCAAUUAGUUUCUACUUUGGUAUUGGAGGUCUUUGCAGCUUCACACCUGCUCCUCUUUGUUCAUUAGCUGGAUCUCAGUGUUAUGCUUGGUUCCACUCGGCGUGAUAAGUUAUCUAUCGCUGAGGACACUGUAAAAGGUGGCCAAGGUAAAUGCAGAUGAACCGCUUCUAAUAGUCCAUUGACUUGGACAAUACUUUUAUGAUCUGAUCUCAAAUCAGGUAGGACUACCCGCUGAACUUAAGC
rnacentral:misc_RNA from 1 species